GUGUGUCUCUCUUCUACCACCAAUUAUGAAAGAUUCAAGUUUUUAAAGUGUUAUAUACUACUCUCUAUAAGCCACAGCAUGAGAAAAAAAAUUGUUCGCCGAUAUUGGGGUAGAAUUGAAAGGAAACUUCCAUUAAGAUUUUGGGAAGGGGUAAAAACAAACAAUUUACAAAGAUGGGAUAAAAGAGUCCACUAUCACUAAUUUAUUAUACAAAUGAAGAUCCUUACAAAAACUUGCACCAUAUUUCUAUAUAAUUGGGGAUUUCACAAUUUGGUCCCCAGGUGCUAAGGUAGAUAACAGUCCUUAAGGAUCCCUCUGCUCUUUUUCCUUUUUUAUCUUUGAUGAAUCCAAAGCGGGCCCUGAGAAUUUUCUGACCUGCCGGGUCGAAAAUGACAAUUCAGAUUCAAUUUAUCCAUUUGAUUGCAAAGAUCUGACGGCUAACUCCUUCUAUUUGGGAGCUUGAUCCUUCAUUCCCCUCAUGCUUGAGACAGCCCACAUCCUACCCCAAUGCUCUAGACUCAUUGUUUUUGCUUCAAAAUAAAGGAUUGGAGAUUCUUAGAUUACAAAUUGCCUCUGCCAACCACUUCAAUUCACAAUCAAUUGGUUUCCAGGUGCCAGAAAGUCGAUAUCACCAAAGAGUCCAGAGCCUCCUUUGAGAGUUUGGAAACAGUUAUUGGGUCUUGGCUUAAGAUUGGGGAGCUUUGUGGUCCUUUUUAUAGGGAAUUCAGGUCCGGUUUUGUAAAACUAGGACCCAGUUUAACAAGUGGGUUUGCAUACCACGGUUG
rnacentral:lncRNA from 1 species